AUGGAGGAUGGGGAGGCGGCUGCUGUGCGGAUGAUGCACCACCGGCUGGUGGCGACGGGCAAAUCGCAUGAGCCGCUCUCCUCCUUCAGCCAUCACUUUGAUCGGCUGCCGCGGAGCUACUUGCACACCCGCUGUGUGGGGUCGCCGGAAGACGUGCUGCUCGACCAGAAGCUCCUCGCCGACACCGAAGCAAAGAAGCGCCUCGUCGCCCACGCCCGCCUCAUGCACCGUGUUCAGGUCCACUACGACGAUGACGGCGGCGGCUAUCCACGAGGGGCUCAGCCACCGCUGCCGGAGUUGAGCCCACCUCGGCCCAGCAUACAUACACUUGACCCAACUGAAUCCUGUCAAAUAAUAUAUUCCCGUCACUACUCCAAUGCUUCUCCCUUCACCUACAUGCCUCCCACUCAUGUUAUCCACACAGUCUCAUCGGCGCGCUUCCUAACAUCAAGUAGAAGUACAAUGCAAGAUGAAAACUUUACCCAUGAGAUCACUUUUGCUUCCCGCGACAAACCCAAGCUUCUUAGCCAGUGUGCACGUAAUAAAUUGUUGAUUUUUAAAGAUAAUGUUCCUCCAAAUGGUCACCUCAUGUUAUCUGCAUUGAUGUAUGGAGUUGGAUUUCAUGUUCAUGAAGCUCACAUCUUCACCACAACCGAUGGAUUUUGUUUGAGCAUUUUUAAUGUUGAUGGUUGGCCUCAAGAGGAUGUCAAAGAUUGA
rnacentral:rRNA from 1 species